CGUGUAGGCGGCUUGGUAAGCCAGAUGUGAAAGCCCUGGGCUCAACCCAGGAAGUGCAUUUGAAACUACUAGACUUGAGUACGGGAGAGGAGGGGGGAAUUCCCGGUGUAGAGGUGAAAUUCGUAGAUAUCGGGAGGAAUACCGGUGGCGAAGGCGCCCCUCUGGACCGAUACUGACGCUGAGACGCGAAAGCGUGGGGAGCAAACA
rnacentral:rRNA from 1 species